rnacentral:rRNA from 1 species
UACGGAGGGUGCAAGCGUUAAUCGGAAUUACUGGGCGUAAAGAGUGCGUAGGUGGUUGUAUAAGUUAUUUGUGAAAGCCCUGGGCUCAACCUAGGAAUGCCAAGUAAAACUGUAUGACUCGAGUAUAGGAGAGGGUAGUGGAAUUUCCGGUGUAGCGGUGAAAUGCGUAGAGAUCGGAAGGAACACCAGUGGCGAAGGCGACUACCUGGCCAGAUACUGACACUGAGGCACGAAAGCGUGGGGAGCAAACAGG